GAUCCUGGCUCAGAGCGAACGUUUGCGGCGGGCCUAACACAUGCAAGUCGAACGGGCUAGCAAUAGUCAGUGGCGCACGGGUGCGUAACACGUGGGUAAUCAACCCUUCAGCUCGGGAUAACGCCUUGAAAGGGGCGCUAAUACCGGAUACGACGCGAGGAGCUUCGGCUGCUUGCGGGAAAGAUUCGCAAGGAUCUCUGAAGGACGAGCCUGCGGCCCAUCAGCUAGUUGGUGAGGUAAGAGCUCACCAAGGCGAAGACGGGUAGCUGGUCUGAGAGGAUGAUCAGCCACACUGGAACUGAGACACGGUCCAGACUCCUACGGGAGGCAGCAGUGGGGAAUAUUGCGCAAUGGGCGAAAGCCUGACGCAGCCACGCCGCGUGAGCGAUGAAGGCCUCGGUCGUAAGGACUCUGUGGGAGAGAGAAUAAAGACCUGUGAAGAAUAGGGCCGUUGACGGUAGUCUCCUUAG
rnacentral:rRNA from 1 species